rnacentral:rRNA from 1 species
UGAGGAAUAUUGGUCAAUGGGCGGGAGCCUGAACCAGCCAAGCCGCGUGAGGGAGGAAGGCCCUAUGGGUCGUAAACCUCUUUUGUCAGGGAACAAAAGCGAGUAUGUAUACUAGUCUGAGUGUACCUGAAGAAAAAGCAUCGGCUAACUCCGUGCCAGCAGCCGCGGUAAUACGGAGGAUGCGAGCGUUAUCCGGAUUUAUUGGGUUUAAAGGGUGCGUAGGCGGCGGUGCAAGUCAGCGGUAAAAGCCCGGGGCUCAACCCCGGCGAGCCGUUGAAACUGCAAGUGCUAGAGAAGGCGAGAGGUACGCGGAAUGCGCAGUGUAGCGGUGAAAAUGCUUAGAUAUUGCGCAGAACUCCGAUUGCGAAGGCAGCGUACUGGCGCCUGACUGACGCUGAGGCACGAAAAGCGUGGGGAUCGAACAGGAUUAGAUACC